rnacentral:rRNA from 1 species
UCGAUGGAGAGUUUGAUCCUGGCUCAGGACGAACGCUGGCGGCGUGCCUCAUACAUGCAAGUCGAGCGGGGGUCAUGGAGGUCUUCGGGCCUUCAGGGCUCUAGCGGCGGACGGGUGCGUAACACGUGAGCAACCUGCCCUUGGGACGGGGAUACCCCUGGGAAACCGGGGCUAAUACCGGAUACGCUUCUCUCCCGCAUGGGGGAGGAGGAAAGGGCGUGGGGAGGAAAGGCCCCAGGCCUGCCCGAGGAGGGGCUCGCGGCCCAUCAGCUAGUUGGCGGGGUGACGGCCCACCAAGGCGACGACGGGUAGCCGGCCUGAGAGGGUGGCCGGCCACACUGGGACUGAGAGACGGCCCAGACUCCUACGGGAGGCAGCAGUAGGGAAUCUUGCGCAAUGGGGGAAACCCUGACGCAGCGACGCCGCGUGUGCGAAGAAGCCCUUCGGGGUGUAAAGCACUGUCGCCCGGGACGAGGGGGGCGAAGAGCCCUUGACGGUACCGGGAGAGGAAGCCCCGGCUAACUACGUGCCAGCAGCCGCGGUAAUACGUAGGGGGCGAGCGUUGUCCGGAAUGACUGGGCGUAAAGCGCGUGGAGGCGGCACGGCGCGUCGGGUGUGAAAGACCCCGGCUCAACCGGGGGGGUGCGCCCGAUACGGCCGAGCUGGAGGGCAGGAGAGGGCAGCGGAAUUCCCGGUGUAGCGGUGAAAUGCGUAGAUAUCGGGAAGAACACCAGUGGCGAAGGCGGCUGCCUGGCCUGGCCCUGACGCUGGAGCGCGAAAGCGUGGGGAGCGAACGGGAUUAGAUACCCCGGUAGUCCACGCCGUAAACGAUGGGCACUAGGUGUGGGAGGUAUCGACCCCUUCCGUGCCGGAGCUAACGCACUAAGUGCCCCGCCUGGGGAGUACGGCCGCAAGGCUGAAACUCAAAGGAAUUGACGGGGGCCCGCACAAGCAGUGGAGCAUGUGGUUUAAUUCGACGCAACGCGAAGAACCU